UCCUACGGGAGGCAGCAGUGAGGAAUAUUGGUCAAUGGAGGCAACUCUGAACCAGCCAUGCCGCGUGAAGGAUGACGGCCCUAUGGGUUGUAAACUUCUUUUGAAUAGGAAGAAACUUAUCUACGUGUAGAUAACUGACGGUACUAUUAGAAUAAGGAUCGGCUAACUCCGUGCCAGCAGCCGCGGUAAUACGGAGGAUCCAAGCGUUAUCCGGAUUCAUUGGGUUUAAAGGGUCCGUAGGCGGAUCUUUAAGUCAGUGGUGAAAGCCGACAGCUUAACUGUCGAACUGCCAUUGAUACUGGAGAUCUUGAGUACAAAUGAAGUAGGCGGAAUGAGUCAUGUAGCGGUGAAAUGCAUAGAUAUGACUCAGAACACCGAUUGCGAAGGCAGCUUACUAACAUGUAACUGACGCUGAGGAACGAAAGCGUGGGGAGCGAACAGGAUUAGAUACCCUGGUAGUCCACGCCGUAAACGAUCAUCACUCGCUGUUGGCGAUAUACUGUCAGCGGCCAAGCGAAAGUAUUAAGUGAUGCACCUGGGGAGUACGCCGGCAACGGUGAAACUCAAAGGAAUUGACGG
rnacentral:rRNA from 1 species